GAUGAACGCUGGCGGCGUGCUUAACACAUGCAAGUCGAACGGUGAAGCGCCUUCCUUUUUCGUGUGUGUGGAUGAGUGGCCAACUGGUUAAUAACUCGAUAGUAACCUGCUCCCUCCUUCUUGAUAACGGCAUGAAAGUGUGGCUAAUACCGGAUAUUCUGUGCCUGUCGCAUCAUGGGUCUGUGACAGCUUUUGUUUCUGUGGGGGAUGGUUUCGCGGCCUAUUAGCUUGUUGGUAGGGUAACGGCUUACCAAGGCGACGAUGCGUAGCCGGCCUGAGAGGAUGAUCGGCCACACUGGAACUGAGACAAGGUCCAGACUCCUACGGGAGGAAGCAGUAGGGAAUAUUAAGCAAUGGGCGGAAGCAUGAUGGAGCAACGACGCGUGGGUGAAGAAGGUCUUCGGAUCGUAAAGCACUUUUAUUAGGAAAGAAGAAAUGCUGAAUUAUCUAUGGAUGUGUUGACGGUACCUAAAGAAGAAGCACCGGCUAACUACGUG
rnacentral:rRNA from 1 species